GAUGAACGCUGGCGGCGUGCUUAACACAUGCAAGUCGAACGAUGAAGCCCAGCUUGCUGGGUGGAUUAGUGGCGAACGGGUGAGUAACACGUGAGUAACCUGCCCUUAACUCUGGGAUACGCCUGGGAAACUGGGUCUAAUACCGGUAAGGAGCGUCCACCGCAUGGUGGGUGUUGGAAAGAUUUCUCGGUUUUGGAUGGACUCGCGGCCUAUCAGCUUGUUGGUGAGGUAAUGGUUCACCAAGGCGACGACGGGUAGCCGGCCUGAGAGGGUGACCGGCCACACUGGGACUGAGACACGGCCCAGACUCCUACGGGAGGCAGCAGUGGGGAAUAUUGCACAAUGGGCGCAAGCCUGAUGCAGCGACGCCGCGUGAGGGAUGACGGCCUUCGGGUUGUAAACCUCUUUCAGUAGGGAAGAAGCGAAAGUGACGGUACCUGCAGAAGAAGCACCGGCUAACUACGUG
rnacentral:rRNA from 1 species